rnacentral:rRNA from 2 species
CCUGGCGGCCUUAGCGCGGUGGUCCCACCUGACCCCAUGCCGAACUCAGAAGUGAAACGCCGUAGCGCCGAUGGUAGUGUGGGGCUUCCCCAUGCGAGAGUAGGGAACUGCUAGGC